GAUGAACGCUGGCGGCGUGCUUAACACAUGCAAGUCGAACGGUGAAGGCGGAGCUUGCUCUGCUGGAUCAGUGGCGAACGGGUGAGUAACACGUGAGCAAUCUGCCCCUGACUCUGGGAUAAGCGCUGGAAACGGCGUCUAAUACUGGAUACGAGCUGCGAAGGCAUCUUCAGCAGCUGGAAAGAACUUCGGUCAGGGAUGAGCUCGCGGCCUAUCAGCUUGUUGGUGAGGUAACGGCUCACCAAGGCGUCGACGGGUAGCCGGCCUGAGAGGGUGACCGGCCACACUGGGACUGAGACACGGCCCAGACUCCUACGGGAGGCAGGAGUGGGGAAUAUUGCACAAUGGGCGAAAGCCUGAUGCAGCAACGCCGCGUGAGGGACGACGGCCUUCGGGUUGUAAACCUCUUUUAGCAGGGAAGAAGCGAAAGUGACGGUACCUGCAGAAAAAGCGCCGGCUAACUACGUG
rnacentral:rRNA from 1 species